rnacentral:lncRNA from 1 species
GGGUGGAGUGCGACCCCGAGUGGGGGAUCGGGUUAUGGGUCGGGAUCCGGGAGGUCACCAACUGGAUUUGGUAGGGGGUAUGGUUAUGGGUCUGGUUCUGGGGGUGGACAUGGCUCUGGGUCAGGCUAUGGUUCCGGGGGUGGUGGAGCUCGUGGCGGAGGCUCUGGGUCUGGGGGUGGCGGAGCUCAUGGUGGCAGCUAUGGGUCUGGGGGUGGUUAUGGAAGUUCGGGCGGUGGUGGUGGAGCUGGUGGCGGUGGAGGGACAAACAACCACGGCUGAUGAGAUAAUUGGCUGAGAGUUAGGGUUUCAUGAACCCCAGGCCAGUUUGAAGUGUGUACUAUAUGAUAAGCAUAUUAUACAACUAGUUAGAUACAUGCAUGCAAGCUUUUAAUAAAUUUUACGCGACUUUGACAAAUAAUAGUAGCAUUGCUCGUAUAUUUAUUAUUUCGUGUGGUAGUUCAUAGUUUGAUGUGUUGCCAUCUCUCUCUGGCUUAUGUUUUUAAUUUAGCAGAUAACAACGUGAGUUUGUAAAACGUUUGCUUCACAGCCCUAAUCAUCGUUCUGUCUAUUUCAAUAUAUUGAUAUUUCUCUUCUCAAUACUGAAAGAAC